CGGAACACUGCUGAUAUUAUUCUCUGUAGAUGCGGACUCCUUUCUCACUCAUUCUGAAUGCUGGCAGCCAAUGAGGAAGCUGCCGGUGGAGGAACCCGCGCUGCCUCCGCCCAUGAGAAUUUCCUGCUAUUGUUUGGAUCACUGAGGUUACGUGGUCUGCAAUAACAAAAGAGCAGGAACCUUCCCACGAUUCCUGAUAAAAAUUCCUUCUACAAAGUGACAUGUGCCAUCUAUAUGUAUACAGACAUAAUGGAUUGCCAUGAACGCACCAACAUAUGGCACUGUCUGAGCUUUUCUUUGAUCAAAUUCAAGGAACCCCAUUUGGUUUUUGAGCUUUUGUGAAACUUUUUUGUUAAAAGAGAUGUUUGGCAGAAUUCCCAAGCUCCCAAACACCAAAAGAGAUAAACAGCAUCACAUAAGAUAAUGUGAAAAUAUAUUUUGUCUGUAUUGGAACUUGACAUUCCCUAGAUACUGUUUGAUUAUGUUUUAUGGGAAAAAAGAAAAGCAUAGACAUUCUGUAAAGCAUAUAUUUUUUAUUUCAUGAAGGAAAGAAAGAAAAGGGGUUGAAACAACACAUCCCUGGUGAAACACGCACACUUUAUCAAUAGAUUACUUAUUAUGGAAAAAUACACUUUUUUAAAAAAGUAUACUUAACUGGAUUUUAAUUGCAAUUAAAGAAAAUGUAUGUUACAUGUAAAUUACGUAGUUUAAAUUUAUAUUAAAAGCAAUUUAAUGAA